UGGGGAAUUUUGGACAAUGGGCGAAAGCCUGAUCCAGCAAUGCCGCGUGUGUGAAGAAGGCCUUCGGGUUGUAAAGCACUUUUGUCCGGAAAGAAAUCCUUGGCUCUAAUACAGUCGGGGGAUGACGGUACCGGAAGAAUAAGCACCGGCUAACUACGUGCCAGCAGCCGCGGUAAUACGUAGGGUGCAAGCGUUAAUCGGAAUUACUGGGCGUAAAGCGUGCGCAGGCGGUUUGCUAAGACCGAUGUGAAAUCCCCGGGCUCAACCUGGGAACUGCAUUGGUGACUGGCAGGCUAGAGUAUGGCAGAGGGGGGUAGAAUUCCACGUGUAGCAGUGAAAUGCGUAGAGAUGUGGAGGAAUACCGAUGGCGAAGGCAGCCCCCUGGGCCAAUACUGACGCUCAUGCACGAAAGCGUGGGGAGCAAACAGGAUUAGAUACCCUGGUAGUCCACGCCCUAAAACGAUGUCAACUAGUUGUUGGGGAUUCAUUUCCUAGUAACGUAGCUAACGCGUGAAGUUGACCGCCUGGGGAGUACGGUCGCAAGAUUAAAACUUAAAUGAAUUGACGGGGUCAUAGCUGUUUCCU
rnacentral:rRNA from 1 species